rnacentral:rRNA from 1 species
UACGGAGGGUGCGAGCGUUGUCCGGAAUCACUGGGCGUAAAGGGCGCGUAGGCGGCCCGUCAAGUCCCGUGUGAAAGCCCCCGGCUCAACCGGGGAACGGCGCGGGAAACUAGCAGGCUUGAGUUCGGGAGAGGGAAGCGGAAUUCCGGGUGUAGCGGUGAAAUGCGCAGAUAUCCGGAGGAACACCGGUGGCGAAGGCGGCUUCCUGGACCGACACCGACGCUGAGGCGCGAAAGCUAGGGGAGCAAACGGG